rnacentral:lncRNA from 1 species
UUUUAAAUUAUAUUUUUGAAUUGGUGAAAAUAAUAGGAUUAUGAAUUUUUUCCUAUUUUCUCCCCUCCAAUGCGUGUGGAAUAUAGCCAUAUAUAUUUUGGCGGCCCUAUUAUUUUUUUAUUCCAAUCCAAGGCCCAAUUGUGUGUGUUGUAUAGUUAUAAAAAUGGGAAAAAUUCAUAUAUGCCUCAGCACAGAAAACUAAUUCGCAAUUUACUAUGUGAUGGGAAUGUUUUUAAAAAAUAGUAAUUAUAAUAUUAAUUAUUUUUAAUUAUACUAACUUCCCAAAAUAUAACCCGAAAGCCAUGUUGUAACUAAUCCAAUUUGAAUUCAGCCAAAUUCACGUUCUGCAUUUAAUGACUUCCAAAAUCAAACAUGAAUUUUUGGCACAGAUUAUAUUUUGAAACAUCAUCUUCUACAAAUAUAGUUAAAGAUACAUUUUUGGAGAAGUGGUUGCUGGUUUUCGAUUUCUAUUUCGCACCAGAUAUGUUAAAUUGCUCUUUUGGGAUUUGAUUACAAUAUAGAAGAUGAUUUGCAAGAAAUAUAUGUGUACAACGUAUUUGGUAACGAAAUAGGAGAAUCCAUUUUUACAAAAUUAAUCUCCAUUUCUCUGUGUGUGUAUGAUCUCUUUUAUUUGAAUAUAUACAUAAUGAACUAUCUGAUUUUUGCGAAAUUGCACCAGAAAACACAAUGAAAUCAGGCAUGGAAUAAAAUUCUGCUGGAGAUCUAUGAAUGAUCAAUUCAGUGUCUUGGUGGGCGAUUUCGACGAGAGAAUCUGGACAGAUAAUUUUGAUUACAAUAGGAAAUAAGAUCUCGGUAGUUGAGUAGAACAUGUUUUGAUUACUGGAGAGAUAAUUUUGAUUACUGGCAGAGGCAGCAGUAGUUGAGUAGAACAUGUUUCAAAUGAUAAGAUCUCGGUCUCCCUGUUCGAGUUGAUGCUGAUGGUUUAGCAAAAUCUAAAUUCGCUGUUUCUGAUGAAUUUAUUAACCAAUGAUUUGUUUUACUGUAACUUCUUUUGAAAACAGAAAGGUUGAUUUAAAGGUAACUAAAGGGUCCGCCUCUUUAUCUUUUUCCAUUGAUCUAAUGCUGAAAUUAGUAGGAACAAAGGUGAUUUAGAUGGUUGGGAAAUAGGUUUGUUUACUAACUAUAAUUUGGUUCAUUGGAAUUAUGUGCUGUUAUUGUAACAUCAAAUUAGAUUAUUCAUUCACAGAUUUGAAACCAAUAAUUCAUUUUAUUUAAAAUUUUCAGUCCGUUUCCUAUAUGUUGAAAUUUGGCCAAUGCACAUGACUUCCAUAGUGUUUUAGAAUGAGGACAAUAAGUACCUUGAGAAUGCUCUCAUAUUGUGUCUAGAUCUUAAAUUACAGUUUAAAAUUUUUUUAUUUUUUUAUUUUUUUUACCCAGGUGUCCCAGCUUCGCUAGACUAAAUCUUGGACCCCUAGCCACCGGCCCCUCAGUGACUAGCGGAGGUAAACCGCAGGUUGUGCCCUUGUUGGAUCAUAAGUUCCCACCCGAUUUUUACUCCUGGCAUCAAGAGAGCUUUCCUCCAUCGUGAUUGAUCUAUCAACAAAUUGCCCAUUUAUUGGAUCAUAGGUUUCCACCAGGAAUCGAACUCUCCACCCUGAGGUUGCGAGCCCGUCAAAAUGAUUGAUCCACCAACUCGGAUGUGCUCUGGGGGACUUACAGUUUAAAAUUUGAUUGUAUUUAUGGAGGCUGCUGGCCAUUCUCUUGUACUUGGAAGCAUAACAAAAUAAGAAAUAUGUGUCUAUUGUAUAAAUGAUUUCAUCCAAAGACGUUCUUUUUGUGUUUGAAACUGUUGCGUAUUUGCUUUCAACUUAUGCUUUGUUGAAAUGAAAAUUUGGUCAUGAAUAUAUUUUAGCUAAUGUUUUCCUAUAA